rnacentral:rRNA from 1 species
CCUACGGGAGGCUGCAGUGAGGAAUAUUGGUCAAUGGACGCAAGUCUGAACCAGCCAAGUAGCGUGCAGGAUGACGGCCCUCCGGGUUGUAAACUGCUUUUAGUGGGGAAUAAAAGGGGGCGCGUGAGCCCCGUAUUGUAUGUACCAUCAGAAAAAGGACCGGCGAAUUCCGGGCCAGCAGCCGCGGUAAUACGGAAGGUCCGGGGGUUAUCCGGAUUUAUUGGGGUGAAAGGGAGCGUAGGCCGGCUUUUACGUCCGCUGGGCAAGUCCGCGGCUCAACCGUGGAAUUGCAGUUGAAAAUGGAGGCCUUGAGUGCACACAGGGAUGCCGGAAUUCAUGGUGUAGCGGU